CGUUUUUUUUUUUUUUGGACACUGUUGCACGCCAUUCGGUCGACAACAUUGUUCGAUCGAAACCGUUUCAAGUGUUUUACCGUUAGUUACCCACAUGAAAAAGACUGUACCUAUUCAAGAAAAUUAUUAUUAUAAUGAAAUUAUUCAAAAACUUGAUGAUCAAUGGAGAGCACUGCCAAAGUCAUUACAUCUUCUACCAGACACUAUUACUAAUUUACGGUUUAUUAUGCAAAAUCCGUACGAAGCAAUAUAGUCUGUAAACACCAAAGUAUAAAUUAUCAUAUGCAGAUAGUGUAACAUUUAUUAAGCUACUGCAGCUAUGAGAAAAAUGUCUCAUCUUCAAAAACAGAGUUACAGCUGCCAAAAGUAUGUCAUAGAAUAUUUUGGAUUCUAAACUAUAAAAUCUCAAUACAACUGCUGCAACAAUUUUUACCUGAUAACUAUUAUUUGAGACAAACAAGAUAAACAAUAAAGCUAAGAGAAGAAGAAAUUCUUUUUCUGUCUCUAUACACAAAGAGUGCCAAGUCGUAAACAAUUGUAUUCAAACUCUAGAAGAUGUCUUUAUCUGGAAGACAAAUNCUUACAAAUUAUCUUUUUUAACUACCUAUUGAUACCAGAAUAUUGAUAAAACCAUUAUAAAAGUGUUAAAUGAAAAUAUCAAAAUGUUUACAAAUUGUUAAAAUAUAUUGUUUAAUAGUUCUUUUUGUUGAAGUAUUGAAAGUAAUCUUCAGUAAAAUGACAAUAUUGGUUCANUUUCUAGAAUCAAAAAUAAUGGUGUUUCAAGAACUCAAAAUUUUGCUGAUCACUCACUUGUUUUCAUAAAAAGAGAAGUUAUGAAAAAUAUAUAAAUAACCUAUAUCUUAUACUUCUUAUAAAAGUUCAACUAUCAGCCAUGAUUUAUAUAUAUAAUAUAUUUAAGACCGUUCAGUCCACUGGUUUAAAAAUUGUAAAAAUUGUAGCAACCAUUAGUGAACAGGUUACCGUUAACAUUGCAGUAAUAAAUAUUUUGAAGAACGAUACAAACGCAUAUUAUUUACAAAAAAUGNGUAUAAAGAUGACCUAUAUUACAACAUUUAUUGUGAUACUCAAUGUUUGAAGAUAAUUAAUUUAUAUGAGCUCAUUUAUCAAAAGCUAUCAGAAAUAAUAUGCUUAAAAAAACGUUGUUUUCAAAAUUUAUAGUGAACAUAACAAAGUUGAUUUAUAUAAAUUGUACAGUAAUAUUCCAGAUGUAAAAAUGUCAUUAAGAUUAACACGGGGACAUGUUGACCGAAAUAAAAUUAAAAAAAUUAAACUGAAAAAUGCUACUCAAGUGCUUAGUGAACAAGUGUCAUCAAUAUGUUUAUUUAUUAAUUAUUAAUGUUCUAAAAGAAAAUUCCAAAGAUACGGCUAAGUUCUGUCUUCUAUUUGACAGACUUUUGGAUAAAUUUCAUCAAANUGGCAUUUAAAGAAAUUCCGUCCAUCACAAUCUGUCAAACAAGUCAGUAAACAUUUUUGAUUCUAUGUAUUUUAUCAACUUGAGCUUAGAUUAGUUUGCAUAAAAAAUUGUUUUAGUCCAUAACCUCCUACACUUAAAAAUUGGACAAGAUCCAUUAGAAGUUACCAGAGUUAAUAAUUUAAAAAGUAUACCUACCUAAAUUAAAAUUUCAUAAUGUUUUGAAACUAUUAAAAUUAUAA
rnacentral:lncRNA from 1 species